GCCCGGCUGGCUCAGUCAGCAGAGCAUGAGACUCUUGAUCUCAGGGUUGUGGGUUCGAGCCCCAUGUUGGGUA